rnacentral:lncRNA from 1 species
UAUUAACAAAUACAUGCACCACCUGAAGUGGCAGGUUUUUUAAUGAAUCCACUGAAUAAUCUCAGUGUUUUGUCCUUGCAGAUAAAUAUGCCAGGUAAUUUUUAAAAUGUCUGUUUGUGUCCUAGUUUCUGAGCCUGUAUUCUUUUUAUCAACUUGACAUGUUCGUGUUUCUGAUUAAAUUGAUUUCUUAAAAAGAGGCGUCAAGGAAUUUCAUUCCCACUGUUGAAUAAACUAGAACCCCUGCUGAUGUUUUACGGUUCAACCGUAGAACAUCGGCAGGGGUCCAUGAUUUCAGAUCCUCAUGAAUCUCGUCAUGCUCUUUGUGUGGGAAUAUUGUUUCAGUUACGACUAAUCCGUUCACACUACAAAAGUCACAUAACCUUUCCCUGUUGUCACUCAUGACUCCACAUAGCUCUCUCUCUCUCUCUCUCUGCAUUUGGAAACUGAUCACUGGUGAUCAGACUUUAAUGCUGCAUAUUCUAACCCUUCUUUUGUUGUAUCCAGGAUGUUUAUUUGUUCCUCUCUGCAGAAUAGACCAUUUGAUCCAGCUUAAAAUGACUGAUAGAACUCUAGCAUAAAGUGUGACCAACAUAAUCUUGAUUUCAUGCGACCACCUCAAAAACAAUGUGCUUCUCAGCUGGCCAUUUCUGAGUUGCCUUCCUCAUGAAUUCUCAAAAAAUGUUCCUUAUAAAAAUGACUUGGAUUUGCACUGAAACUGAUCAUAUCGGUUAUUUAAUUUAUUUUCAUAAAAAGCCAACUCAAAAUGAACAACAGUGGAAACCCACCUUACGGCCACCCCACCUUAUGGCCACCUCAUUAUUACAGCCACUUUACUUUGGCCCGAGCUAAAGCUCAGCCAGUCAUUCUUUUUUUUUAAAGAACCCCUUUAAUACGGCCACCCAGUUAAUAUGGACAGUUUUUUUUGUGGCCCGUUGGUGACCAGGUUAAUGAGAUUCCACUGUGUUUCCUGUCACUAAAUACCAUAUCAUUCAAAAUAACUUGAGGCUUCCUCUCAUUAAAUGUAACCAAGUUGUCUGGUUGAUUUAUUGUGUCUAUAUGAUUUAACAGUUGCAAAUUUAAACAAUAAAUAAUAUUUGACCACAACUUUGUUUCAGGUUUGAGGCAGUGCGUAUAACAGAUAAGAAUAGUACAUAUGUCAAGUGUCAUCAGAAUGCUGUUGUGUUUGCACUGUCAUCUUUCCAGUAUAUUCAGCUGUCAGUUGUUUUCUCUGGAAGAGCCCCUUAUCGAAAACCAUUUUAUAAAAGUGUAUAUUUUCUACUGGUCGUUGUGCUACUAACUCUGUUUACAGGAUUUCUAGUGGUUCUUCCAGGACAAGUAUUGCAGAAAUUCUUUGAGUUAGCAACCAUGCCUGACUUAGUCUUCAGGCUAACGCUUGUUGGUAUUGCAGCUUGUAAUUGUCUCAUUUCAUUAUUUAUUGAGAUCUACAUUGUCCCUUCUCAAUGGCUAAAGAAACUACUCAAUUACAUCUUCUGCAAGUCACAUCCUAAGAAUUUCUUUCGAAUAUUAGAGCACCAACUGGAGCAAGAUCUCAACUGGCCUCCUUCACCAAGCUAGAAAGCACUGAGUGCUUUCAUCUUGUCAUCCAAUGUAUUAGUCCCAGGGUUGAUGUAACCAAGAUAUUUUAAAUGUCAUAGGAUUUAGAUAGGAUGUUCUAGUGAACUGAUUUCACAAUCGACCAUAUUCAUCUCUUCUCUGAACAACUCUAAAAUAGCAUGAAGUAACUAACAAUUUGAACAUUCAAUUCCUUCGAAUAUCCACUGCUCAUAUAGUUCGGUCUGUCUCCCUGUGUUUGCACUUGAUUUACUUGUCUCUUUCAUUCCCUUGGUCUUAUUUUGUUUUGCACGUCAAAGGCAGGGGAAUAACUCGAAAACCGCGAAGUUCAUUUAUCCCCCUGGCUCGACUUUAAACACAUACCUUUUCCCUAAGUUAUUGUAAUUUUCUUCCCAAAUGUGUAUUAAGUGUGAAGAGUAAAUAAAGCAUUGUUGCUG